rnacentral:rRNA from 1 species
AGUGAACGCUGGCGGCGUGCCUAAUACAUGCAAGUCGAACGAAGUGGCGAACGGGUGAGUAAUACGGGGGUAACCUGCCCUCCGUUUUGGGAUAAGCCUUGGAAACGGGGUCUCAUCCCAAAUAAAGGGGGCUGGGCGCGUGGCCUAUCAGCUUGUUGGUGGGGGAAUGGCCUACCAAGGCGGUGACGGGUAGCCGGCCUGAGAGGGUGACCGGCAACAUUGGCACGGAGAUACGUCCGAGACGCGGCCGGGAGGCAGCAGUGGGCGAUAUGGGACAAUGGGCGAAAGCCUGAUGCAGCGACGCCGCGUGGGGGAUGCAGGUUUUCGGGUUGUAAACGUGUUGAGCUAGCGAAUCGGUAGGUGCAGAAGAAGCACCGGCUAACUACGUGCCAGCAGCCGCGGUAAUUC